rnacentral:tRNA from 1 species
GGAUGCAUAACUCAGUGGUAGAGCACAUGCUUAGCAUGAGGUCCUGGGUUCAAUCCCCAGUGCUUUCA